AUUGAACGCUGGCGGCAUGCCUUACACAUGCAAGUCGAACGGUAACAGGUCUUCGGAUGCUGACGAGUGGCGAACGGGUGAGUAAUACAUCGGAACGUGCCCGAUCGUGGGGGAUAACGGAGCGAAAGCUUUGCUAAUACCGCAUACGAUCUACGGAUGAAAGCAGGGGACCGCAAGGCCUUGCGCGGACGGAGCGGCCGAUGGCAGAUUAGGGAGUUGGUGGGGUAAAGGCUCACCAAGCCCACGCUCUGUAGCUGGUCUGAGAGGACGACCUGACGCCCUGGGACUGAGGAACGGCCCCGACUCCUACGGGAGGCAGCAGUGGGGAAUUUUGGACAAUGGGGGCAACCCUGAUCCAGCAAUGCCGCGUGCAGGAAGAAGGCCUUCGGGUUGUGAAGCCCUUUUGUUGGGAAAGAAAACUUUCCGGUUAAUACCCGGAGAGAAUGACGGUACCCAAAGAAUAAGCACCGACUAACUUCGUGCCAGCAGCCGCCGUAAUAC
rnacentral:rRNA from 1 species